GAUGCCAGGGUCAAAGGGCCUAAGCCCACAUGAGCUUGCUCAUAGGUGGGUGAAAGGCCUUAGGAUCCGCCCCAAUAUGAGCAUAAAAGUGGGAUGUAUAUCCCACGAUAUGCGAAUAUUGGGUAGGAUUGUGGGAGUGCGCAGCACGGAACAAUCCGUAGGCAUC
rnacentral:sRNA from 1 species